GACGAACGCUGGCGGCGUGCUUAACACAUGCCAGUCGAACGGAAAGGCCCUGCUUUUGUGGGGUGCUCGAGUGGCGAACGGGUGAGUAACACGUGAGUAACCUGCCCUUGACUUUGGGAUAACUUCAGGAAACUGGGGCUAAUACCGGAUAGGAGCUCCUGCUGCAUGGUGGGGGUUGGAAAGUUUCGGCGGUUGGGGAUGGACUCGCGGCUUAUCAGCUUGUUGGUGGGGUAGUGGCUUACCAAGGCUUUGACGGGUAGCCGGCCUGAGAGGGUGACCGGCCACAUUGGGACUGAGAGACGGCCCAGACGCCUACGGGAGGCAGCAGUGGGGAAUAUUGCACAAUGGGCGGAAGCCUGAUGCAGCAACGCCGCGUGCGGGAUGACGGCCUUCGGGUUGUAAACCGCUUUCGCCUGUGACGAAGCGUGAGUGACGGUAAUGGGUAAAGAAGCACCGGCUAACUACGUG
rnacentral:rRNA from 1 species